rnacentral:rRNA from 1 species
UACAGAGGUCUCAAGCGUUGUUCGGAUUCAUUGGGCGUAAAGGGUGCGUAGGUGGCGCGGUAAGUCGGGUGUGAAAUUUCGGAGCUUAACUCCGAAACUGCAUUCGAUACUGCCGUGCUUGAGGACUGGAGAGGAGACUGGAAUUUACGGUGUAGCAGUGAAAUGCGUAGAUAUCGUGAGGAAGACCAGUUGCGAAGGCGGAUCUCUGGGCAGUUCCUGACACUGAGGCACGAAGGCCAGGGGAGCAAACGGG